AGCGAACGCUGGCGGCAGGCCUAACACAUGCAAGUCGAACGAACUCUUCGGAGUUAGUGGCGGACGGGUGAGUAAUACGUGGGAACGUGCCUUUAGGUUCGGAAUAACUCAGGGAAACUUGAGCUAAUACCGGAUGUGCCCUUCGGGGGAAAGAUUUAUCGCCUUUAGAGCGGCCCGCGUCUGAUUAGCUAGUUGGUGAGGUAAAGGCUCACCAAGGCGACGAUCAGUAGCUGGUCUGAGAGGAUGAUCAGCCACAUUGGGACUGAGACACGGCCCAAACUCCUACGGGAGGCAGCAGUGGGGAAUCUUGCGCAAUGGGCGAAAGCCUGACGCAGCCAUGCCGCGUGAAUGAUGAAGGUCUUAGGAUUGUAAAAUUCUUUCACCGGGGACGAUAAUGACGGUACCCGGAGAAGAAGCCCCGGCUAACUUCGUG
rnacentral:rRNA from 1 species